UUCACCACCUUGGAAUGUCCACUAGUAACAGGAACACAGAGAAGCAAAGAGUCAGAGCGACCCCUGACCUGCCAUGCAGUGUGUCCCUCAGGAGAAGGCAAGGGGGAAAGAACAAGUCCAAGGGAUUACACCCACAUUCUCAGCAUCUUCGGACUGGACAAACUGAAUGGCAACAUGAAGAAAACGACGAAUCUUCAGCCAAUAUUUGGAAUAGUGGAUACAUCUACUGG
rnacentral:lncRNA from 1 species